rnacentral:rRNA from 1 species
AUGCUCCGGCUCCGCCACAGCGUCCUUGCCCAGCUCCUAUCGUCUCCCUCCGCCUCCACCAUCUCCCCUCUCCACCGGCUCUUCUCCGCCGCCGCGCCCGCCGUUUCCCCCAACCCUAGCUUCGCCGUCGAGGAGUACCUCGUCGCCACCUGCGGCCUCACCCGACCCCAGGCCCUCAAGGCCUCCGCCAAGCUCUCCCACCUCAAGUCCCCUUCCAAGCCCGACGCCGUCCGCGCCUUCCUCGCCGGCCUCGGCCUCUCCGGCGCCGAUGUCGCUGCCGUGGUCGCCAAGGACCCGCGGCUCCUCUGCGCCAAAGUGGAGAAAACCCUGGCCCCCAUCGUCGCUGGGCUCAUCGGCCUCGGCCUCUCGCGUUCUGAGAUCGCGCGCCUCGUCUCACUCCCCACUGUCAAAUUCCGAUGUAGAUCCAUCGUCUCCAAGAUAGAGUACUACCUGCCUCUCUUUGGGUCCUCCGAGAAUCUCCUCCGGGCCCUCAAGAAGAACUUCUACCUUCUCUCGGCUGACCUCGACGAUGUGGUUAAGCCCAACACCGCGUUGCUGCGGGAGUGCAGGCUAGGUGCUUGUGAUAUUGCCAAGCUAUGCAUCAGUCAACCAUGGCUUCUCACCGCUAACGUGAAGCGUGUCCAAGCCAUGGUGGAAUGCGCUGAAAACAUUGGUGUGCCCCGUGCCUCUGGGAUGUUCAGGCAUGCGCUGCAUGCUGUUGCAUUUAUCAGCGAGGAGAAGAUUGCAACCAAGGUGAAGUACUUCAAGAACACCUUCAGAUGGACGGAUGCUGAGGUAGGCAUGGCUGUUUCUAAGUAUCCAACGGUGCUGAAUAAGUCCAAGGAAUCGCUGCAACGCAAGUUUGAGUUCCUCAUCUCCGAGGUGGGCUUGGAAUCGGCGUACAUUGCUCAUCGACCCGUAAUGUUUGGCCUCAGCCUAGAGGGCCGGCUCAGGCCCCGGUACUAUGCUGUAAAGUUUCUCAACGAGAAUGGAUUGCUCAAGUGCAGCCCAAGCUACAGCACUGUUUUCACGGAGACCGAAAAGGCAUUCAAGGAGAAGUUCAUAUGUCCUCAUAAGGAAGCUGCACCACACCUUGAAGAAGACUAUGAUGCGGCUUGUAAAGGGGAACUGCCGGCUAAUUUCAGAUUCACAUGA